GAGUUUGAUCAUGGCUCAGGACGAACGCUGGCGGCGUGCUUAACACAUGCAAGUCGAGCGAUGAGAUCCCUUCGGGGAUGGAUUAGCGGCGAACGGGUGAGGAACACGUGAAGAAUCUGCCUUCAACUCUGGGAUAACACCGGGAAACCGGUGCUAAUACCGGAUAUGAGCCUUGAUCGCAUGAUCGGGGCUGGAAAGUUUUUCGGUUGAAGAUGACUUCGCGGCCUAUCAGCUAGUUGGUGAGGUGAUAGCUCACCAAGGCGACGACGGGUAGCCGGCCUGAGAGGGCGACCGGCCACACUGGGACUGAGACACGGCCCAGACUCCUACGGGAGGCAGCAGUGGGGAAUAUUGGGCAAUGGAGGAAACUCUGACCCAGCGACGCCGCGUGAGGGAUGAAGGCCUUCGGGUUGUAAACCUCUUUCAGCAGGGAAGAAGCGAAAGUGACGGUACCUGCAGAAGAAGCACCGGCUAACUAUGUGCCAGCAGCCGCGGUAAUACAUAGGGUGCAAGCGUUGUCCGGAAUUAUUGGGCGUAAAGAGCUCGUAGGUGGUUAGUUACGUCGGAUGUGAAAAUCUAGGGCUCAACCCUAGACCUGCAUCCGAUACGGGCUAGCUUGAGUUUGGUAGGGGAGACUGGAAUUCCUGGUGUAGCGGUGGAAUGCGCAGAUAUCAGGAGGAACACCAAUGGCGAAGGCAGGUCUCUGGGCCAAUACUGACACUGAGGAGCGAAAGUGUGGGGAGCGAACAGGAUUAGAUACCCUGGUAGUCCACACAGUAAACGAUGGGCACUAGUUGUGGGAACCUUCCACGGUUUCUGCGACGCAGCUAACGCAUUAAGUGCCCCGCCUGGGGAGUACGAUCGCAAGAUAAAAACUCNAAGGAAUUGACGGGGCCCCGCACAAGCAGCGGAGCAUGCGGCNUAAUUCGAC
rnacentral:rRNA from 1 species